rnacentral:rRNA from 1 species
AUUGAACGCUGGCGGCAUGCCUAACACAUGCAAGUCGAACGGGGCAGCAAUGCCUAGUGGCGGACGGGUGAGGAAUACGUAGGAAUCUGCCCUUAAGUGGUGGAUGACCAGGGGAAACCCUGAAUAAUACCGCAUGAUCUCUUCGGAGCAAAGAGGGGGACCGCAAGGCAUCUCGCUUCUGGAUGAGCCUACGUCUGAGUAGCUAGUUGGUAGGGUAAAGGACUACCAAGGCGACGAUCAGUAACUGGUCUGAGAGGAUGAUCAGUCACACCGGAACUGAGACACGGUCCGGACUCCUACGGGAGGCAGCAGUGGGGAAUAUUGGACAAUGGGCACAAGCCUGAUCCAGCAAUGCCGCGUGUGUGAAGAAGGCCUUCGGGUUGUAAAGCACUUUAGCCUGGAAAGAAAAAACUUUGGUUAACACCCAAAGUCUUGACGGUACCAGGAGAAUAAGCACCGGCUAACUCUGUGCCAGCCGCCGCAGUAACAC